rnacentral:rRNA from 1 species
UACAGAGGGUGCAAGCGUUGUUCGGAAUUAUUGGGCGUAAAGGGCGCGUAGGCGGUGCGGUAAGUCUGUAGUGAAAUCUCCGGGCUCAACUCGGAGUCUGCAUCAGAAACUGCCGUGCUCGAGUGUGGGAGAGGUGAGUGGAAUCCCCGGUGUAGCGGUGAAAUGCGUAGAUAUCGGGAGGAACACCUGUGGCGAAAGCGGCUCACUGGACCACAACUGACGCUGAGGCGCGAAAGCUAGGGGAGCAAACAGG